UACGUAGGGGGCCAGCGUUGUCCGGAAUCAUUGGGCGUAAAGCGCGCGUAGGCGGUCAGGUAAGUCCGGUGUGAAAGUCAAAGGCUCAACCUUUGAAUGCCGCUGGAAACUGCCUGACUUGAGUCCGGUAGGGCGAGUGGAAUUCCGUGGUGUAGCGGGUGAAAUGCGCAGAUAUCAGGAAGAACACCCGUGGCGAAGGCGGCUCUCUGGGACGGUACUGACGCUGAGACGCGAAAGCGUGGGGAGCGAACAGG
rnacentral:rRNA from 1 species